ACUCCUACGGGAGGCAGCAGUGGGGUAUUCUGCGCAAUGGGAGACAAGCCUGACGCAGCAACGCCGCGUGAGUGAUGAAGGCUUUCGGGUCGUAAAAGUCUGUCAGAGCGGGAAGAAAUGACAGGGGCUAAUA
rnacentral:rRNA from 1 species